rnacentral:rRNA from 1 species
AACGAACGCUGGCGGCAUGCCUAACACAUGCAAGUCGAACGAGACAUUCGGGUCUAGUGGGGCAAGGGUGAGUAACGGGAGGGAACCUGAGCUUCGGAUCGGAAUAACUCCCAGAACGGGGUGCAAAUACCGGAUAAUGUCUACAGACCAAGGAUUUAUCGCAUUUGGGUGGGCAAGCGAUGAAUUAGCUAGUUGGUAGGGUAAAAGCCUACCAAGGCGACGGUCCAGAGCUGGUCUGAGAGGAUGAUCAGCCACACUGGGCCUGAGACACCGCCCACAAUCCUGCGGGAGGCAGCAGGAGGGAAUAAUAGACGAUGAGCGAAAGACUGAGCCAGCAAGGCCGCGUGAGUGAGGAAGUCCUUAGGGAUAUAAAGCUCUUUGACCCGGGACGAUAAUGACAGUACCGUAAGAAUAAGCCCCGGCUAACUCCGUG